AAACUUAGCACCACCGCACAGAGCAGUCAAUGUUAUGAAACCAGAAAAUAUGUUUGGCAUGAGUUAAAUAGUGCAGUGAGUAAUAAUGCCGUCAUCUUCAUAUCCCAUAAGUGUCUUCCUCUUAUCUAUCAUUGAAGGAGGACACUCCUUCAAGCGAAACCGGAUUUUAGUUGGAAGAAUACUUUUUCAAAAGCUCCCAGACAUACCAUAUACAGCCUUAUUUGACUCGGGAAUAGGACAAUGAACAACAUUUGGCACAGUAAGUAACUUACUCAAGGAUUCAUGUCAACAAGACUAAGUUUGGAGAAGAGAACCACCCCAAGGUAAGGAAGCUGAUGAACUGUAUGGUUUCAAUCAGUUAAAUAUCUUAAAUUAUUGAUAUGUUAAACACUCAAAAUACAUAAAUGUCUUAAAAAUAUAUACGGUUUGUUACAUAGUUACUAAAUACUACGAGUUAAGAUGAAAUGACGCACAGUGACGCCAAACGUACAGGCAACGUACUGACGUAGGUUUGUGGGAAAUCCCUUUCCGUUUCCACACCGAAUACAAAACAUGGGGAAUACAUGCUUCAAUUCCAAAAAGGUAAUGUUUUGUCUUUCGAAAUACUAUUUUUAUGUAUUUUUUUGUACAUAUAGAAAUUAAGAACAUUGACAUUCAUUCAACAUAGGCUAUGUGCAUGCAUGCAUGUAGAUUUUUGUCUAAGAGAAUGUCAACAGCAUGUUGUUUGUGCUAUGCUACUCAACAAGUGGAAGCUAAUAACAAAACUAUAUAGCAUUUUUGCUAUCAUUUUACAACAUUUUGUAAUUUUGCCCAAUAGUGUAGACGGGAGGUUUGACAAAACUGUAGACUAUAGGGACCAUUCAUCCCUCAGAGCAGACCACAGUUUAAGUCAGUUUUGGCCAGGUAACCAACACACGCAGAACUGCUAAAGGCCAUUGAGUUUCAAAUGAGUAAACUACAACAAUUUAACUAUAUGAUCGAGGAAAUUGACCCUCAAGCUUGUUUGAGACUUAGUUUUCACUUCCAUUAUGUUUUAUUCAGUACAGAGGAUAUUAAAGCUAGGAAUGCAUUUUGUAAUGUUGCAGACCCAGAGUGAGGAACAGCAUGAGAAAAAUAAAGAUGCUGGCCCCUCUGAGUGUCAGAAUCAUAACAAUUGCCAUCCUCACCAACCUCUAACGUUAUUGAUUUCAGCUACUGAACUGUCCAACUACUCAUCACUGAAUUUCAAAUGUUACAAUAACAGAUUAAAUUAAUGUGUAACUCAAUUAGCUUAUAUUUGCUGUAACAUCAAAUAGGUGGCUAUGACUAUUUUUCUAGAUCCCACAACAAUGUAAAGAAGACCAAUCUGGCACCAAGACAGAGGUGUAUUAUGAAAACCAUUUUCUUCCUUGGGAAUGGAACAUCACAGCCUUAAUUCAGAACAACCACGUGGAAUCAACUGUGCCUGUAAAUAGCACGGUGGUCCCAUUUCAGGCUGGGGUGGCAGCUGUGAAUAUACCUCAUCUAGGCUCCAUCUCAAUAGGAUCAUCUCCAGACUGUGUCCAGGAAGCUCUACCUCAUACCGACGGCUCUUCCUCACAGCAUUCACCUCAACACCAGAUUCUGCAAUGAUGGUAGUGUUUCAAGAUAGUGAGGGAACAAAAGCACAACCAUAUCUUCAAUCAAGCAAGCAGCCAUAACAUCAGGUAUGAAGAGCUCCAGGAGCCUUGGAAGAAGAGAUUAAGUGAAGGAAGUGGCUGCUUUUGAAACAAUUUCUGCUGCUAUUUUCUGUUGUUUUUAAGAUGUAUGUAUGUAUGUAUGUAUGUAUGUAUGUAUGUAUGUAUGUAUGUAUGUAUGUAUGUAUGUAUGUAUGUAUGUAUGUAGCUAGGCCAUGUAUGUUUUUGUAUUUAAAUAAAUAUAUGUUAUUACUUGUGCAUUGAGAUAGCAUUUAUGUUCCAAUCAAAAUCAUAAAAACACCAAGAGUGCUUUGGUGGUUCCACUCUAGUUGCAGAUAGUUUUUUCUGAUAUAUUAGUUAUCCUUCAAAAUGCUUUACAUUUGAGCAUGAACGGUGCAGCAUUUGCGUGAAUGCAGUGCAUCGAUCUAGCCAUAAUAUUAUCGCCUUGAUCACACUGACAGCGUCAUUGCCAGGAUGACCAGAGGAGGGUGACGUGUGGUCCCAACAGAUCAAACGAUCGCGGACAGCAGACGGAACAUACAGACGCCCAACUGGACACUGGGUGGGAGUGGGCUCUGUACGUAACGCCCGCUCGAUGUCCGCGUUUACCUCCCAUACCACCGGUGCCACCAGGCAAGAAGCCGGAAGUAUGGGAGUGGGAUCCGUGGACCGCUCCUCUGUGUCAUACAUCCGGGACAGUGCGUCUGCCUUAGCGUUCUGGGAACCUGGUCUGUAGGAUAGGGUGAAAACAAAACAGGUGAAAAACAUGGCCCACCUUGCCUGGCGAGGGUUCAGUCUCCUCGUCACCCGGAUGUACUCCAGAUUGCAGUGGUCAGUCCAGAUGAGGAAAGGGUGUUUAGCCCCCUCAAGCCAAUGUCUCCACGCCUUCAGAGCCUUCAGAGCCCCACAUCAUAGUUUCGCUCCGCCGGGCUGAGUUUCUUCGAAAAGAAAGCACAGGGGCGGAGCUUUGGUGGCGUACCUGAGCACCGAGACAGCACAGCUCCUAUCCCAGCCUCAGACGCGUCCACCUCUACUAUAAAUGCCAAGGAGGGAUCAGGAUGAGCCAGCACGGGAGCCGAGGUAAACAGAGCCUUCAGGUGACCAAAAGCCCUGUCCGCCCCAGCUGACCACUGCAGUCGCACCAGUCCCCCCUUCAACAAGGAGGUAAUGGGAGCCGCUACCUGACCAAAGCCUCAGAUAAACCUCCGGUAGUAGUUGGCAAACCCUAAGAACCGCUGCACCUCCUUUACCGUGGUUGGAGUCGGCCAAUUACGCACGGCUGCAAUGCGGUCAUGUUCCAUCUCCACUCCUGACGCGGAAAGGCGGUACCCUAGGAAGGAGACGGACUGUUGGAAGAACAGACAUUUCUCAGCCUUGACGUACAGGUCAUGCUCCAACAGUCGACCAAGCACCCUGCACACCAGGGACACAUGCUCGGCGCGUGUAGCGGGGUACAUUAGAAUGUCAUCUAUAUACACCACUACGCCCUGCCCGUGCAGGUCCCUGAAAAUCUCAUCUACAAAGGAUUGGAAUACUGAUGGAGCAUUCAUCAACCCGUACGGUAUGACGAGGUACUCAUAGUGCCCAGAGGUGGUACUAAAUGCCGUCUUCCACUCAUCCCCUUCCCGGAUAAACACCAGGUUGUAAGCGCUCCUGAGAUCCAAUUUUGUGAAGAAGCGCGCCCCGUGCAAUGUCUGUCACACUGGCUAUGAGUGGCAGCGGGUAACUGUACUUCACCGUGAUCUGAUUUAUACCUCGAUAGUCAAUACACGGGCGUAAACCUUCAUCUAUCUUCUUCACAAAAAAUAAACUUGAGGAGGCAGGUGAAGUGGAAGGCCGAAUGUAUCCCUGUCCUAGAGAUUCGGAGACAUAUGUUUCCAUAGCCACCGUCUCCUCCUGUGACAGAGGAUACACGUGACUCCUGGGAAGUGCUGCGUCUACCAGGAGAUUUAUCGCACAAUGCCCCCGUCGAUGGGGUGGUAGUUGAGUCUUCUUACAGAAGGCGAGAGCCAAAUCGGCAUAUUCAGGGGGGAUGUGCAUGGUGGAGACCUGGUUUGGACUCUCCACUGUAGUUGCACCUAUGGCAACACCUACGGUACACACCUCCCUGAGCACUAACGUGACCAUCCCUUGAGAGGCCUCUGUUGCUACGAAAUAUUGGGGUCAUGAUAGGUCAACCAGGGAAGGCCCAACACCACAGGAAACGCAGGAGAAUCGAUCAGGAAGAGACUAAUUCUCUCCUCAUGACCCUCCUGCGUUAUCAUACAUAGGGGAGCUGUGACCUCCCUAAUCAGCCCCGACCCUAACGGACGACUAUCUAAGGCAUGUACAGGGAAGGGCACAUCAUCAGGAACAAUAGGGAUCCCUAAUCUAAGUGCAAAUGAACGGUCAAUAAAGUUCCCAACUGCACCUGAAUCUACUAGCGCUUUAUGCUGGGAAUGCAGGGAAAACUCAGGAAAUUCUAUACACACACGUGCGCAACAGGAAGCUCUGGGUGAGUCGGGUGCCUACUCACCUGGGAUGAUCCACCAGUGCCCUGCCUGCUGCCUCGACUCCCUGGGGAACCUCCCCAGCACCGAUCAGCAGUGUGCCCUCUGUGGCCACAUGUGGUGCAGGA
rnacentral:lncRNA from 1 species